rnacentral:lncRNA from 1 species
AAUCAGGCAUUAGAACAGGUUGUCCAAGGAGUGCCAUCACUAUUUUUGGAUGUUUACAAGCCUGCUUUGGUUCAAAUCUCAUCUGAUCCCACCGUUACCCCUGCUUGUGGCUGGAGUUAACAGUGUGACUAAGUCCUCCCUGUCUCAGGGCCACAGGAAUUCCUGGCACAGGGACUGGGCAGCGGGUGUCUGCUGCACAAGGGUCAUUCUGGCCAGGGGUAAAGGAAAUUAAACUAACAAAAAAUGAAUCAAAUGUCUCCUGAGCAAAGAACUUAGUCGCUACUUACCAUCUGGUGAACCAAAACAGUGAGGGAAACCUCCCCCUGAGAUCAGCUUUUGCAGCCAUUACCACUCUACCUGAGUUUCUUGGCACUGUAAAUCCCCAACAAGCAGUGGAAAAGAGAAUUCCCCCAGCAAGUGCCAUCGCUGAUGUGCCGUGCUGUAUCCUGCCUCGCACCCCUGAGCACAAAGGAAGAAGGAUGUGCCUGAGCAUUGUCCAGUAUGCAAAGGAUGUGAGGCAAAGCAGGCUGCAGGCUGCUGCUGGCCUUGCUCUGCACUUUGUGCCUUCUGCCAGCCUUGCUGCCUCCCUUGGCUCCUAACCUGUCUCCCCCCACUGAACUGCCUGCUGCUGCUGCUCCUGGGAUGUAGAGGAGAGUUUCUCCAUUGGUCUUCAGCUGUGUCCAGUGGUUGCAGGGAGGGCACCCAGCUGUGCAACACUUCUCCACAUCCCCAUGUGAUUCUGCUCUUCAUGAGCUGCCAUCUCUCAGCGGUUGGAGGAGUCCAUCUCAAGAUUCAAGGUGGUGCUCUCCAGGUGGGACACUGGUCUUGGACCAGGAGAAAAUCUGCAGCAUUUCCCUGGGAGCUGCUGUAAGGAGAGGUUAGCUGCAGGAAUUCAUCCUGGAGAGAAGCUUUGUGCCAUCUAGGGCCCCCUGCGAUGGCAGCGGGAAGGGAGGAAAGGCAGAGAAUGAGAGCUCUCCGGAACAGCUCAUGUGAGUAGAGACUUAUGAAUGACCUUGGCCUUGGAAAGCCAUGGGUUUUUGUUUUGUUGGUUCUGUUUUUUGAGAGUUUUUUGUUGUCGUUGUCGUUGUCGUUGUUGUUUUUAUUUAUUUUUUAAUGUAUAUCAGAAGCAGUUAUUUCAACAUGUAAAAUGAAGCUGCAGCUUGGC